UAUCUCACAGCGUUCUUUUAAGAAUGCUAUGAAAGAGAACCAAUUACAGUUUUCAGUGUUAAAGGAGCGGCGGAAAAACUCGCGUCGAAAUUACUAUAGCAUUCAUAGUGAAUAAUAGCGUUCCACAAAAGUUACUUUACUUGAAAGCCCUAAAUCGCACACCCCCUUCUUAAAAUUUCAUUCUUUCCUCUGAAAUCAGAGGCGAAAAUCUUCUUCUUUGUUGGCGUUGAAACACAGAAAUCGGCUCAGUUUUUUCGUUGUAUCAGAAAUGAAGAGUUUCGAUCAAGUUGGCGACGCCAAAUUGGGUGAGGAGAUCUUCAGAUUUCGACACCAUCAAGAAAGGUGUUGACACAAACAAGGUCUCUCUCUCUGAAAACCUUCGUCUCCCCCUUUCCCCCUUCCUCCCACUCUCCUCCUUCUCCCUUGUUAGUCGAUCUGUAGGUGUGUCGUGACACAGGAAUACGAGGAUUAAGCACCAUUAGUCUUCGCCAUUUGCGAGCGAGAGAAGUUUCCAGAAAUCAAGCCCAAUUUCAGAGAACCCACAAGUAGCAACAGCACGCCACAGAUACAACAACCUGGUCAAAGGACAAUUACUCUAUCUUCAAAACUUAUGUGCUUUGUAGUUCUAUUGAGGCUGCUUGUUUCUAGUGAGAGUCACAGAAGUUAUAGGUAGAUGAAGAUUUGUGCCUUCUUGUUCUAUUGAGGCUUUUUUCGUUAGUUCACUACUUAUGUGCUUUUUUGAUUGCUUUCCUCUUCCCCCUUUUGGAUAUGUCGAAGGUCAAAGGAAAAAAUGGAGAGGCAACUUUGCCACACUUCUGGUGGUUCGGCAAUCAUAACAAAGACACCACCACAACCCCAAGAUGGCAAACAAUGGCCAUGGCACAAAUCCACCCCUGCUAUUGGAAUCAAGAAGAUUAGAGCAAUUCGAAGU